UCUGGGCUACUGCUUUCUCUGCGAUAUGGCGGCCUGCAAACUUCAUGUUAUCUGCAACUUUAUGCCCCCUCGUUUGAGUUUAGCCAACUGCUUGAAAAAUUCUGACAGGAUAACUUAUACCUUAUCCGAUGACUUGUCACAUCAAUUUCAGUUCACAAUGGAGACAUAUGGAGCCCCUGUCUCUGGGAUUCAGGGUUUUCUUUAUGCUGAAACUACUGCACACUGAGCAAGUACAACUUGUGAAAAUAAAUAUUAUAUUAAUGAGAUCAAUGAACUGACUGGUGGAGUUGAGCUGUUAGAAAAUGUGCGUGUAAGGAGCAAGGGUACAAUUCUGCAGCUUUUCCCUGUACAGUCUUUAAAUACACUGACCUCUUCCAAUAAAGCUUUCUAAACAUGGCA